rnacentral:ncRNA from 1 species
UUUUUUAAGUCUCCUCUAUAUAUUGUGUCCCUCUCUACUAUCUAGCGAAACCACAGCCAAGAGAACGGGCUUGUAAAAAUCAGCGGGGAAAGAAGACCUUGUUGAGCUUGACUCAAGUCUGACUCUGUGAAGAGUCAUGAGAGGUGUAGCAUAAAUGGGCGGCGUGGACUCUCGUGGUUGUGUCGUGCUGACAGUGAAAUACCACUACUUUCAUCGUUUCUUUACUUACUCUGUGAAGCAGAAAGCGCACCAUAACUGUCGACGCUUCUAGAACUAAGUGCAAGGCACUUCGUUGGCCCGCACGAUCUGUUACGAGUACAGUCUCAGGCGGGGAGUUUGACGGGGGCGGUACAUCUGUCAAAUAGAAACGCAGAUGUCCUAAGGCGAACUCAGCAAGGACAAAAACCUCGCGUUGAGCAAAAGGGCAAAUGCAUGCUCGAUCUUGAUUUUCAGCACGACUAGUGACCGCGAAAGCAGGGCCCUUCGAUCCUUUUGACUUUAAGAGUUUUAAAGGGGCACUCAAGUGGUUUUUGGGGAAGCUACUUGUUGGUUGGAUGGCGUUAAGGAAGUGUCAGUAAAUGAGUAUAUUUAGUUUUAGAAAGCAGAACCGCCUAUUAAUCACGCAUGAAUAGAAUACGUGUGGACUCUUUUCUGUUCCAGCGCCGACAAAUGAAGUUUUCGUAUGUUUGAAAAUUUUGGCGCCCUUUGCAAAGUUUCGCUAAAGAAACAAUUUUCAGUUAGUUUAGAUAUAUUGUGCACGAUAAUUGCACAAGACGUAAAAUAGUUCUAGUUUAGAAUACGCGAUACUGAAAUUAUUGUUU